rnacentral:rRNA from 1 species
AAAGCUAGCCCAACUACAAACCUAAUUUCAAUUAUCACAUAUACGUAAAACAAAACAUUUACUAAUUAAAGUAUAGGAGAUAGAAAUAUUCUUAAGGCGCUAUAGAGAAAGUACCGUAAGGGAAUGAGUGAAAGAUCAAUUAAAAGUAACAAAUAGCAAAGCUUACCCCUUUUACCUUUUGCAUAAUGAGUUAACUAGAAAAUCUUAGCAAAGAGAACUUAAGUUAAGUACCCCGAAACCAGACGAGCUACCUGCGAGCAGCAUAUAAGAGCAAACUCGUCUAUGUGGCAAAAUAGUGAGAAGACUCUCAGGUAGAGGUGAAAAGCCUACCGAGCCUGGUGAUAGCUGGUUGUCCAGAAAAAGAAUAUAAGUUCAACUUUAAUCCUUACAAAAAUAUAACUAUAAAAUUACCAUGUAAGAUUAAAUGAUAAUCUAAAGAGGUACAGCCCUUUAGAUAUAGGAUACAACCUUAAACGGAGAGUAAGUAAAAUAAAAAUUCAUAGUUGGCCUAAAAGCAGCCACCAAUUAAGAAAGCGUUCAAGCUCAACAAUACACACUCUUUAAUUCCAAUAGUAUAACUAACUCCCACAUUUUAACUGGACUAAUCUAUAAAAAUAGAAGAGAUACUGUUAAUAUGAGUAACAAGAAUUAUUUCUCCCUGCACAAACCUAUAUCAGACCGGAUACCCCACUGAUAAUUAACAAACCAAUAAUAAUAAUUUAUACAUAAAAUACUUAUUACAUGGAUUGUUAACCCAACACAGGCGUGCUAUUUUAAGGAAAGAUUAAAAGAAGUAAAAGGAACUCGGCAAA